GGUAUCUUAGCUCAGCUGGGAGAGCAUCUGCCUUACAAGCAGAGGGUCAUAGGUUCGAGCCCUAUAGGUCCCA
rnacentral:tRNA from 1 species